rnacentral:rRNA from 1 species
CAGUAGCCGCGGUAAUGCGUAGGUGGCAAGCGUUGUCCGGAAUUAUUGGGCGUAAAGGGCUCGCAGGCGGUUUCUUAAGUCUGAUGUGAAAGCCCCCGGCUCAACCGGGGAGGGUCAUUGGAAACUGGGAAACUUGAGUGCAGAAGAGGAGGGUGGAAUUCCACGUGUAGCGGUGAAAUGCGUAGAGAUGUGGAGGAACACCAGUGGCGAAGGCGACUCUCUGGUCUGUAACUGACGCUGAGGAGCGAAAGCGUGGGGAGCGAACAGGAUUAGAUACCCCUGUAGUCCCUGUCUCUUAUAA